AGUUGAUUCAUUGGUUUUUUUUGACCCGUCUUGUAACACGGACCAAGGAGCCUAACAUGUGCGCGAGUCUUAGGGUGCUUGAAACCCAGAGGCAGAAUGAAAGUGAAGACGGCUUCGGCCGCUGAGGCGAGAUUC
rnacentral:rRNA from 1 species